rnacentral:rRNA from 1 species
UACAAGCUUAUUAAGGGCGUAUGGG